rnacentral:rRNA from 1 species
GAUGAACGCUGGCGGCGUGCUUAACACAUGCAAGUCGAACGGUGAAGGCGGAGCUUGCUCUGCUGGAUCAGUGGCGAACGGGUGAGUAACACGUGAGCAAUCUGCCCCUGACUCUGGGAUAAGCGCUGGAAACGGCGUCUAAUACUGGAUACGAGCUGCGAAGGCAUCUUCAGCAGCUGGAAAGAACUUCGGUCAGGGAUGAGCUCGCGGCCUAUCAGCUUGUUGGUGAGGUAACGGCUCACCAAGGCGUCGACGGGUAGCCGGCCUGAGAGGGUGACCGGCCACACUGGGACUGAGACACGGCCCAGACUCCUACGGGAGGCAGCAGUGGGGAAUAUUGCACAAUGGGCGAAAGCCUGAUGCAGCAACGCCGCGUGAGGGACGACGGCCUUCGGGUUGUAAACCUCUUUUAGCAGGGAAGAUGCGAAAGUGACGGUACCUGCAGAAAAAGCGCCGGCUAACUACGUG